rnacentral:tRNA from 1 species
GAAGCUAUAGCUCAGUGGUAGAGUGUGUGCCUUACAUUCACGAGGUCCUGGGUUGAAUCCCCAAUACCUCCC